GCCAGCAUAGUAUAGUAGGUUGAGCAUUGGAUUAGGACUCUGGAAUCCAGGGUUCAAAUCCCAGUUCUGCA